UUCACUUUAAUCGGUGACGAAUAUUCUCUCUUUGCGGUUUUCUACCCAGUAAAAAGGUAGUUGUAAUACCUAUUUCAUUCUCUAGAGAGUUAAUCCUUGAUAUGUUCAUCCUAACUGAUGACGGGUUUUCUUCUCUUUGCGGUCUUCUGCCCAGUAACUAGUAAUUGUAAAUCCUAUUUUUCCUUUGAGUCUAUCCUUGAUAUGUUCAUCCUAA
rnacentral:lncRNA from 1 species